rnacentral:misc_RNA from 1 species
UCCGAGUUGACCCCGGCAGUCUCCCGCAAGUCCCCAACACCGGCGAACCGGCUUGCUGGCAAUACAGGACGAGGGUUGCGCUCGUUGCGGGACUUAACCCAACAUCUCACGACACGAGCUGACGACAACCAUGCACCACCUGUGCACGACCCCAAAGGAAGCCGUAUCUCUACGGCGGCACCGUGCAUGUCAAGCCCUGGUAAGGUUCUUCGCGUCGCAUCGAAUUAAGCCGCAUGCUCCGCCGCUUGUGCGGGCCCCCGUCAAUUCCUUUGAGUUUUAGCCUUGCGGCCGUACUCCCCAGGCGGGGCGCUUAAUGCGUUAGCUCCGGCACGGAACCCGUGGAAACAGGCCCCACACCUAGCGCCCAACGUUUACGGCGUGGACUAC